CUGGAACAGCUCUACACCUUCAGGAGGGUCCUGGAAGGUGCAUGGGAGUUCGGCCAACUGGUCUACAUGUGCUUUGUGGACUUGGAGAAGGCGUUCGACCGUGUCCCUCAGGGAGCCUUCUGGGGGGUUCUCCGGGAGUAUGGGGUACCGGGCCCUUUGAUACGGGCUGUCAGGUCCUUGUAUGACUGGUGUCAGAGUCUGGUCUGCAUUGCCGGCAGUAAGUCGGGCUCGUUUAGAGUGAGAGUUGGACUGUGCCAGGGCUGUCCUUUGUCACCGAUUCUGUUCAUUACUUUCAUGGACAGAAUUUCUAGACGCAGCCAGGAUGUUGAGGGAAUCCGUUUUGGUGGCCUCAGGGUUGCAUCUCUGCUUUUUGCAGAUGGUGUGGUCCUGUUGGCUCCAUCAGUAUGUGAUCUGCAACCCUCGCUGGAACGGUUCGCACCCGAGUGUGAAGCGGUUCGCACCCGGGUGUGAAGCGGCCGGGAUGAGGAUCAGUGCCUCCAAAUCCAAGGCCAUGGUCUUGAGCCGGAAAACGGUAGAGUGCCUUCUCCAGGUUGGGGGGAUGUCCUGCCUCAAGUGAAGGAGUUCAAGUAUCUUGGGAUCUUGUUCACGAAUGAGGGAAGAAGGGAGCGGGAGAUCGACAGGCGGAUGGGAACAGCAUCUGCCGUGAAGCAGGCGCUGUACUGGUCCGUCGUGGUGAAGAGAGAGCGGAGCCAGAAAGCUAAGCUCUUAAUUCACCGGUCAAUUACUGCAAUUACUAAACUAUUAGCUGUUAUCUUGACACAGGAAGUGGGCUCGCAAAAAUAAAAGUCCUUUACUAACUGCGGGUUACAAUCGUUGUUGAAUCUCUUAAUAAGAUAGUAAUAAUGUGAAAAGUAAUAACAGUCGUAAUGGUUUAUGAGAAAAGAAAUUGAUUAAAUAUAACCACAGCAAAAGCAUGUUUUUCUAUAGUGACCAAAUGUUCAAUCAACAUUUGGUAAACGUUCAUUCAUGAACUCUGAACAUUUGACUUUGAGGUAAUGUUCACUGAACAUUAUUUGUUCAUUGAACAUCAUCUGCUUGCUGGGUUAUGGGGCAACACAGAGCAUGGAACCAACACAUGCACAGGGGGGACAAGAUGCAGACGUAUUUCACGAAGGUCCCACCAUGCAGCUCUUAUUCCAUCCACUUAGAGUCAUCAAUUGAACUCACUUUUGUGAUUUUGGACCCAAAUAGCAAGGAACUUUCAGACAACGUCCCUUGAAUGUAAUCCUGAAAUGAAACACCAUAAAACAUUGAGAGGAUUAGGAUUAUGCAGUUCCUUGUUGUUUCAGGUCCUCCAAAACAAGAUCAUUUUUGUGAUUUUUGGACCAAGUGGGGGAAGCCAGAGCACCUGGAGGUAACCCACACAUGCACAGGGGAUAAAUUGCACACUUAAUGCAGAGAGACCCCAUUAAGCAGCCAUACUUUUUAAAAAGAAAUCUAAUAAUUCUUGAUUUUUGAAGAAUUUAGAUUAAUCAUUUGUUUGUAAUUUUGGUCCUUGCUAGCAAAGAACGUUCAGACAACAUCCCUUGCCAGCAGCGGCAUUUAUCAUCAUAAAAUAAAACCUUCAGAGAAUUAGAAUGGUAUGCUUCCCCAUCAUUCCAGGUCUUCCACAACAAGAUCAGCAAGAUUCACAUGUAGAGUGCCUUCAUUUCUGUCCUGGCCAUCUGAGUUGACUGAUUCAAGGUCCUCCAAAACAAGAUCACCUUCGUUCACAUACAUAGAGUCUUCAUUUAUGUACUGGCCUUCAGAAUUGAGUGAAUCAAGAUCUUCCAAAACAAGAUCACCUUCAUUCACAUACAUAGAGUCUCCAUUUAUGUACUGGCCUUCAGAGUUGACGAAUUCAAGGUCUUCUGAAGCAAGAUCACCAAGGUUCACAUUUGUAGCGUCUUGUUUUGUGUUCUGUUGACUUUCGUGGGUUUCUUGUUCAGGAUCUUCCAAAACAGGCUUAUACGGACGCACCUGUAUGAAAAUGGGACGAUACUUGCUCAUUGACGACGCAAGGGCAGGAUACAUUCUGCACACAGUCCCAGAGACGACACUUUCUACUAGUGUUUGGUUUUCACACUCCACUGUUGGUAUGCCUACGUUUUGAGGCUCUGGGGAAUCCUCAAAGCGUCUGCUUCUAUCGUAACUUACAGGAGAUUCAAUCGUGUUCUGGUUUUCAGAAUGCACUGGUUCAAGAUCUUCCAAAACAAGACCACCAGGGACCACAUCUGCAGGGGCUUCACCUUUGUCCUUGCUUUCACCGUUGGUGGUGCUUCCCAAGUCUGAAUGAACUUGUUUAUGACAGAACAUAGCAGAAUUGACAUUUUUGCGGGUGCUUUUCAGAGCACUUCUCAGAUAGUUUUUUGGGAGAUUAACUUUUCUGGGAUGUGUCAAAGUUCUUUUGAAACAAGCUACAAGUUUGUAGUCAACAAUUGGGUGGUUCAUUUUCAUGAGAUGGAAAAGCCUAUCUCUUACAACGUCCUCGUUUCCACUUAGAAGUUGGAAGAUGUCUGAGCCAACUUUUCUGUCCAUCUCUGGGAAAAUGAUAAAAUCUAGAUCCUUCAGUUCUUCCCACAGAACUCCAGAAAGCCUCUCGUAGACGGGGAUAAUGUCCUUCCGUAGAUAAUAUGUGGUAGAUCUUUGACUAGCCUUACGAAUCAGUUUCCAAAGAAUUUGAUUUAUCAUUUUUCUCCGUUCAUCUGUUCCAUGUCUCAUUCUUUCCUUUCCCGCCAAUCUUUUCGCAUUAGGAUAAGUAGACUUCAAACAAUCCUUACUCAAGCAGUUCUCUUCUGCAUACAAGCCUUCUGCAUCAAACAAAGUGUCUUUAAGCUUUGUUCUUACAGAUGAUAGGUUCUUCAUGUUGGUGGAUUCUUGAGGAAUGGGAUUCUCCAGGUGAUGCUUGAAUUCUUGCACUAUCCUUGGAUAUGACCCUGGAUUGGAAAGGAUUGCAAACAAAUGCAAUUCUCUUGCAAGGUGGAAAGAAUCACUGGCGAUGCUCUGAAAGAUUCUUUCACUUAGGUCUUCUGACAUUCCUGGCAGAAUGUCCAGAUCCAACUUCCCAGUUUCUGCCAUAAUUUGGCAUAAGAGCUCACCCUGGGCGUUCUCAAAGGUUUCUCUGACGAGGGACACGGUUGGUUCAUCCGCGACUUUCUCGAUCACCUGCCACAGAAGGUCGUUGAGAAAGUCCCUUUUCAAAUACUCAGGAUUCCUCGUGGGACGAAUCUUUUGGAAUUGAUUUUUGCAUAUGUCCCGAAAGGACGUCCACUUCUUAGGCAUCGUCUCCAUUUCGAGCUUGCUACCAAUAAUAACUACACGUCUGUCACUCACAAAAAAGACUUGCCUCUGAGUUCUGUGCUAGAAUUGUACUGUACAUAAGGAUGAUUUAGUGAUGUCAUAGACUCUGUGACAUCACCAAUCAUUGUCUGAAGAGAAUGUGGCCAGAGUUAAAAGGAAUAUAAACAGUCAGAAAUGCUAACACAUUUCACAACAUGUUCAAUGGCCAGGAAGCAAAAAUCUGAAUUCUUAGACUUAGAUUUAUUUUAUUGUCGUUGCACAAAGGCACAACAGUGAAACUGGCAGUGAAACGUCAUCACUAUUCUGUAUAAACUAAAAAUGAGACAGCUCAAAGUAGAAUUGAGUAAAUAAACAUCUACACAAUUAAAAACAUUUGAGCAAUUGAUUAUAAUAAAAAUAAAAUAUAUUGUCAAAUAAUUUUUGAUAAACAAAUCUGCAACUUUUUUCCAGCAAUUUCCAUUUCACACUCCAGUCCAGUUGGUGGCAGUAAUGCGCUUUUAUAGUUGGUUGGUAACCGCCAUUAAACUCCAGAAGAUGUGCACUGGCGCUCAAGCCAUCGUGAACGAAAAUGUCCGUGCUUCGGGUGAAAUGGUGGAAAAAGUAUUAUUUUACGGAGUUACUUUUUCAGUAUUGUAUUGAUAUUAAAGCCAUGUCCCGGAGGAAAACAACAGAUGACAUCACAGUGCUCCAACAAGGCUGAACUCACGGAAAUAAAGCUUUUAUAUAAAUAGCGACCCUCCAUGUGCAGCCCAAUCAUAAUUAGUUUCUUACAGAAAGCGGUCUCUCGUUUUCAUAAUGCCAGAACAAUUGUAGGGUGAUAUUUUUUGUUGUGUUUUUUUUAUUAUUAUCAUCAUUACAUCUGAUGUUCUGAACUGUUGAUAAUACUCGCGUCUUCUUUUAUUAUUUUUUUUUCAAAUGGCCCAGGCUGAACAGAGGUCUGAGGCCUCUGACCUCAGACCUCUGACCUCUGGCCUCAGACCGAGGCGCUUCCGGAGUCCAUGAGGACGAAGUGAAAGUCAGCAGAGUGUGGUGAGCAGAAGAGAUCGACAACAUGGCGGACAUGAUCUUCAAUAAGAGAAUGGGAGGAUGAAGCCGGUCUGGAUUAUGUUCACUCAACCAGCCAAUGCAUUAUGAUUGCUCAAUGGCUGGUUGACUGAUGCACUAAGAGUUCAACACUUCACAGUAUGCGAUGUCAUCCAUGCAGGAUGUGGACGACAUCCUGUGUCCAGGAUGUCAUCCAGAUGUUGGAAAAGAAAGAAGCAGCUGAUGGAGGAAGGCAGAGAGUACUGGCAGCAGAGGAGGUGGCAUUCUGGGAUGAUGACACCUAUGAGGGGGCGUCAGGACAGACUGUGGUGAAGUGGAAACUCCAAGUUCCCCCAGCCAGGAGCUCAGUGACCUCAGGUCUCCACUACAGGAGAGACUGAACGCAGAUUAGAUGGAAAGUGUAGCGCAAUGUUGGAUAAUGUUUGGACAAGAAAUUACCGCCAGAUGGUGCAGAAGUGAACAAUCACUUGCGUCUUAUUUUGUGUGGAAACAUUGAAAAAAUAAAACGAAAUAA